rnacentral:rRNA from 1 species
UACGUAGGGGGCUAGCGUUGUCCGGAAUCAUUGGGCGUAAAGCGCGUGUAGGCGGUCCGGCAAGUCUGCUGUGAAAGUCGGGGGCUCAACCCUGGAAUGCCGGUGGAUACUGUCGGGCUAGAGUGCGGAAGAGGAGAGUGGAAUUCCUGGUGUAGCGGUGAAAUGCGCAGAUAUCAGGAGGAACACCUAUUGCGAAGGCAGCUCGCUGGGACGUAACUGACGCUGAGACGCGAAAGCGUGGGGAGCAAACAGG